rnacentral:rRNA from 1 species
GACGAACGCUGGCGGCGUGCCUAAUACAUGCAAGUAGAACGCACAGUUUAUACCGUAGCUUGCUACACCAUAAACUGUGAGUUGCGAACGGGUGAGUAACGCGUAGGUAACCUGCCUGGUAGCGGGGGAUAACUAUUGGAAACGAUAGCUAAUACCGCAUAAUAUUGAUUGUUGCAUGAUAAUUGAUUGAAAGAUGCUAUUGCAUCACUACCAGAUGGACCUGCGUUGUAUUAGCUAGUAGGUGAGGUAACGGCUCACCUAGGCGACGAUACAUAGCCGACCUGAGAGGGUGAUCGGCCACACUGGGACUGAGACACGGCCCAGACUCCUACGGGAGGCAGCAGUAGGGAAUCUUCGGCAAUGGACGAAAGUCUGACCGAGCAACGCCGCGUGAGUGAAGAAGGUUUUCGGAUCGUAAAGCUCUGUUGUAAGAGAAGAACGGGUGUGAGAGUGGAAAGUUCACACUGUGACGGUAUCUUACCAGAAAGGGACGGCUAACUACGUG